CUCCAACUCAUGUUUUUCCUUUCCCCCUUGAUAUAUAUCACUCAGAAUUUCUUGCUAGAUAAGAGAGUGCACCAGCAAUCUGCUGAGCUUCUUGUUACACAGUCAAAAACCUGUGAAGAUAUUGGCAGCCUAUUGAAGGCCAUAUACAAGCAAAGCCCCUACUCCGGCAAUGCCGAUUAUCAAACUGACGAUCACUGUAAUAGGUGGUAGCGCACCACCAAUCGCCCUCCCGGUUUCUGCAUCAUAUUUCGCGAACCGCUUCUUUGGUGCGUUGCAUUGUGGGCAGCCAUAUUCAUCAGGCUGUUCUUCGAAAGGCUUGGGAAGGAAGUAUAUGUAUCCACAAUCAAGGCAAAUGUGUGUUGCUCUAGCCUUUUGUGAUUCCGUCAAUUUCCGGCCAAAUCUCGGAGGCGCCGGCCUUUUCGGAAGUCGCUUCACAUCAACUUGUGCACCCCUGCUAACCACAAAGUAGACAGAGUCUGGCUUUGCCUGGAUGGCUGUCUUGGUGAACCCCAGCUUAUCUGCAGG
rnacentral:misc_RNA from 1 species